UGGGACGGCCGGGGGGCCGCCUUCCUUCCCGUACGGGAGGGGGGGAGGAACUUCCGGACUCCAGAGGACGCGGUGCCCGUCGAAAGGCGGGACGCGGGGGACGCAAGGCUCCCGCGAUGGAAAGUGCCACAGAGAACAUACCGCCCCGGCGCGAGCCGGGGUAAGGGUGAAAAGGCGAGGUAAGGGCUCACCGCUCCGGGGGCGACCCCGGGGGCUAGGCAAACCCCGUCGGGAGCAAGGCAUAGGGCGGGCAGGCGCGGUCCGCGCCCCGGCGUAGGCCGGGAUCCGUCCGGUGGCUGCACGAGAGAAAUGGUCCCCGCCCGGCGCGAGCCGGGGCACAGAAUCCGGGGUAUAGGCCGUCCCAGACG
rnacentral:RNase_P_RNA from 1 species